rnacentral:lncRNA from 1 species
UCAAACCCAAGCAAACAUGUGCUGGCAAUAUAACUGCUAUAGGCGUGUAAACAUGAUGGCAAUGCAUAUCCAUAUAGCUGUCAAAGUAUAUCAGGAAAUUGUAUCAUAAUUGUAUUUAAAAUAGGAUCUCUAUUAUAGGCAAUUAUAGACUAGACAAUUAUAGGCAAUUAGUAUACAGAUUCUUGUACUCUUAUAUAUAUAU